GGCUAGACGACGCUGGCGGCGUGCCUAAUACAUGCAAGUCGAACGAACUCUGGUAUUGAUUGGUGCUUGCAUCAUGAUUUACAUUUGAGUGAGUGGCGAACUGGUGAGUAACACGUGGGAAACCUGCCCAGAAGCGGGGGAUAACACCUGGAAACAGAUGCUAAUACCGCAUAACAACUUGGACCGCAUGGUCCGAGUUUGAAAGAUGGCUUCGGCUAUCACUUUUGGAUGGUCCCGCGGCGUAUUAGCUAGAUGGUGGGGUAACGGCUCACCAUGGCAAUGAUACGUAGCCGACCUGAGAGGGUAAUCGGCCACAUUGGGACUGAGACACGGCCCAAACUCCUACGGGAGGCAGCAGUAGGGAAUCUUCCACAAUGGACGAAAGUCUGAUGGAGCAACGCCGCGUGAGUGAAGAAGGGUUUCGGCUCGUAAAACUCUGUUGUUAAAGAAGAACAUAUCUGAGAGUAACUGUUCAGGUAUUGACGGUAUUUAACCAGAAAGCCACGGCUAACUACGUGCCAGCAGCCGCGGUAAUACGUAGGUGGCAAGCGUUGUCCGGAUUUAUUGGGCGUAAAGCGAGCGCAGGCGGUUUUUUAAGUCUGAUGUGAAAGCCUUUCGGCUCAACCGAAGAAGUGCAUCGGAAACUGGGAAACUUGAGUGCAGAAGAGGACAGUGGAACUCCAUGUGUAGCGGUGAAAUGCGUAGAUAUAUGGAAGAACACCAGUGGCGAAGGCGGCUGUCUGGUCUGUAACUGACGCUGAGGCUCGAAAGUAUGGGUAGCAAACAGGAUUAGAUACCCUGGUAGUCCAUACCGUAAACGAUGAAUGCUAAGUGUUGGAGGGUUUCCGCCCUUCAGGUGCUGCAGCUAACGCAUUAAGGCAUUCCGCCUGGGGAGUACGGCCGCAAGGCUGAAACUCAAAGGAAUUGACGGGGGCCCGCACAAGCGGUGGAGCAUGUGGUUUAAUUCGAAGCUACGCGAAGAACCUUACCAGGUCUUGAACAUACUAUGCAAAUCUAAGAGAUUAGACGUUCCCUUCGGGGACAUGGAUACAGGUGGUGCAUGGUUGUCGUCAGCUCGUGUCGUGAGAUGUUGGGUUAAGUCCCGCAACGAGCGCAACCCUUAUUAUCAGUUGCCAGCAUUAAGUUGGGCACUCUGGUGAGACUGCCGGUGACAAACCGGAGGAAGGUGGGGAUGACGUCAAAUCAUCAUGCCCCUUAUGACCUGGGCUACACACGUGCUACAAUGGAUGGUACAACGAGUUGCGAACUCGCGAGAGUAAGCUAAUCUCUUAAAGCCAUUCUCAGUUCGGAUUGUAGGCUGCAACUCGCCUACAUGAAGUCGGAAUCGCUAGUAAUCGCGGAUCAGCAUGCCGCGGUGAAUACGUUCCCGGGCCUUGUACACACCGCCCGUCACACCAUGAGAGUUUGUAACACCCAAAGUCGGUGGGGUAACCUUUUAGGAACCAGCCGCCUAAGGUGGGACAGAUGAUUAGGGGAAGUCGAAACC
rnacentral:rRNA from 2 species